UCAUCUGUUGCCAGCAUUUAAGGUGGGGACUCAGAUGAGACUGCCGGUGACAACCGGAGGAAGGUGGGGAUGACGUCAAGUCAUCAUGGCCCUUACGGCCUGGGCUACACACGUGCUACAAUGGUCGGUACAAAGGGUUGCUAAGCCGCGAGGUGGAGCUAAUCCCAUAAAACCGAUCGUAGUCCGGAUUGAAGUCUGCAACUCGACUUCAUGAAGCUGGAAUCGCUAGUAAUCGUGGAUCAGCCAAGCCGCGGUGAAUACGUUCCCGGGCCUU
rnacentral:rRNA from 1 species